rnacentral:rRNA from 1 species
UACGCCCGAUCUCGUCCGAUCUCGGAAGCCAAGCAGGGUCGGGCCUAGUUAGUACUUGGAUGGGAGACCGCCUGGGAAUACCAGGUGCUGUAAGCUU